UUGGUUUCUUUUCUUCCGACCAACAUCAGAAGAAUGUAGUGUGUAAGCUAUGUAAAAAAAUGUCCCGGCUAAGCAAGGAAACACAAGCAAUUUAUUCCACCAUCUAAACCGCUGCCACCCUUUGGAAUAUACAACUCACAAGCAGUCCACGAUGGAGAGGGUAACUGGGUUUGGUCGGAGAAACCAUGCGGUGCCUCACUUCCGAUCAUCAUCCUCUGCGACUAAAUGGUCUCAUCACGGUGGGCGUGUUUGUGCCAACAAGCAGGGAGGUUUCAUAUCUUACUACGGGAUCGGGAAACGCCAACACCAUGCCGUCAAUGGUCUCACCGACUACAAGGUCAACCCCAAGAACUCCAGCUUGAGCGACAGGUAGCCAUCGAAAGGAUAAUAAGCAGAAUUGAGGCCCCAUAUCUGCAAAGCAUCAAAGGAUGUCAAUGGCAGGUGCUUGUCAUAAAAGGAUCUGUACAGCAAGGUUACUUGAGAACCAGUAUCGAGGACAGCUUUGGCAUAGAUGCCUUCAAUCUGUACUGGUAUAGCAGAACACAAGAAAUAACAGUUGUUUAGAAAAUAAGAAAAGGUUGUACAAAUAGAACAACCAAAAAACCAAACCCCGGGAUUGAAACGGUAAUUAGGGUACCUCUUACAAUUUUACUGUCUCUUAAACCACACAUUGCUUGCAAGCUAAAUUGUUGGCAUGCUUGUUAGUUAUAGCUCAAUAUUCUCAAUACUCCCUUUCCAGGGAGUGAGUGAACAAUCCUACCACUUCGGUAGUAAGCGAUGACUCGGUUGAUGACUUGUGUGCGCGCGUUUGGCCUCCGCGCAAGCUAAGCUAACUCUGCUAAACAUGAGCUAAACUGGCCAAAGUCACGGAACGGUUUAAAGUCUGCUUUAUUCUACUCAAAAUUUUAAGCUUGUCAGUGCACAGCAAAAUCACUGUCCAUAAAGAGUAGGCCAGACGCGAGUUAAACACUCUUUGAGUAAAAUAUCCUCAGCAGCGUCUCGCUCGUGGUGCGACACCAUUCAUUCUCCAGACUCUCUCGAAUCCAAUAGUUCUAUGAGAGUUCCGUUCUCGCGCGGUCUCACCUUCAACAUAAACUUUAUUUAAACUCAAAUUACUGAACUCAACCAAAUGCACUAGUACUUUGAUAGGAUAUAAAACAUUUUAAAACACGUUACGUCCAUAAACCCAUUUUCCGUAAGCAUUUGUCAGUUAAAAUAUUCAGUACACAUGCACAUUAACUCAUCAAUAUAAACAAAGUCUUCAAAGAAGUAUGGAAAGGAAAAAGCAGCAAUGUAUAAGACAGAAACCACAAAUGAAAAAAAAAGAUAAUAAUCACUGAUGAAUUCUGAUUGUAAUUAUUAGUCUAACAAGGUUGUUACAUUUGGAUAUUAUUCAAUUUACCUGGUAAUUAAAGGUACCUCAAACAAAUCCUAGUGCAUUACUUGCCCCUUUUGGGGUACUUUUCUCAGGAUCUAUUCCUCUGUGGUUGAUAGUGUCACAGCCGGCUCUACACUGUGACAAAGAAGGAAGCCCCGUGCCAGAUAAUACUAAAAAAGUAAUGUAUUUUAUCAACAUAAGAAUAAAGAAUCAACGGAAACAUUACAAAGGCCCGAGAGCGCUGGAAGCCCAGAGUGACGAUUAAAGAAGCUUAAGAAGCACCGGCAUCAGCCACAUCGCAGGUGAAACCACUCUUACUAAUUACAUAAACCCAACUCCGAUCUGUAAAACCACAAAAAAAAGAACAGAACAGAAACAAACCAAAAAGGAUUCAUAACAAUAGGCUACUGUGAGCAAAGACACAAAACUCCUGGUUAACAGAUCUUUCUACUGUGUUGCUCUCCAUUACUCUUAAAUUUGACAUUGAUAAUUGUUUUUUCUAAUAUAUAGUUUUUUUAUGAAUUGAUUGUGAUGUUCCUCAAGUCGCUUUGGAUAAAAGCAUUGUCAAGUGACUAAUGCAAAUUUUAUCGUAAUCAAUAAACUUCAUCCAUGUUUGUGCUAAAGACGUAAAUGAUGCCUCAAUUUGUGUGACUUUGCAGGGAGCUGUUCAAUUACUUUUUUAAACAUUCAGACAAACAGAGCAUAACUAUAGCAGAAAUAGCAGAAAUAUCUUACGAAACGUGAAUGCCCAAACAACCAGCUGGCAAACCAUAGCAACUUGUUAUCAACCUCUUAUGACCUCUUAUGACGUAUUGGCAACCACAUAACAAUACCCUGGGGACCACCCUAAAAACAACCUUAAAUACCAUAGAAACUGUUUAUAAAAGCCUAUAGCAAUGCAAUGAGCUAAAGCCACAAAACUUUAGCAGAGCACAACCUUGUGUGGCAGCACGUUGUAUGCGAAGCACAUAAGCCAUUUUCUUCUAAAUCAGACCAGUCGACUGUAAACUGCAAUCCAUCUCACUGUCUGAGCACUUAUUUAUCUUCUGCUUUAGGUUUAAUCCAAGUGCACCUGCUGUGAACAUUUAAAUCAAGCAUUGCACGUGGGUUUAUCUAGAGGCCUAUAUAGUAGAAUUGUAAAGCCAGUGGGACUGUUCAGUCAGAGAGCUCAAACUGACAUUUCUUUUCUCAGAGGA